rnacentral:rRNA from 1 species
CUACGUAGGGAGCGAGCGUUGUCCGGAAUUACUGGGUGUAAAGGGAGCGUAGGCGGGAUGGCAAGUCAGAUGUGAAAACUAUGGGCUCAACCCAUAGACUGCAUUUGAAACUGUCGAUCUUGAGUGAGGUAGAGGUAAGCGGAAUUCCUAGUGUAGCGGUGAAAUGCGUAGAUAUUAGGAGGAACAUCGGUGGCGAAGGCGGCUUACUGGGCCUUUACUGACGCUGAGGCACGAAAGCGUGGGGAGCAAACAGGAUUAGAUACCCUGGUAGUCCACGCUGUAAACGAUGAUGACUAGGUGUGGGGGGACUGAACCCUUCCGUGCCGCAGUAAACACAAUAAGUCAUCCACCUGGGGAGUACGGCCGCAAGGUUGAAACUCAAAUGAAUUGGCGGGG